rnacentral:rRNA from 1 species
CCUACGGGUGGCAGCAGUGGGGAAUAUUGCACAAUGGGGGAAACCCUGAUGCAGCGACGCCGCGUGAGUGAAGAAGUAAUUCGUUACGUAAAGCUCUAUCAGCAGGGGAGAAACACUGACCUUACGGUCAGCAGACGGUACCUGAGUAAGAAGCCCCGGCUAACUACGUGCCAGCAGCCGCGGUAAUACGUAGGGGGCAAGCGUUAUCCGGAGUUACUGGGUGGAAAGGGAGCGUAGACGGCGCGCCAAGGCUGGAGUGAAAUGCCGCAGCUUAACUGCGGAACUGCUUUGGAAACUGGCGAACUAGAGUGCGGGAGGGGUAAGCGGAAUUCCUAGUGUAGCGGUGAAAUGCGUAGAUAUUAGGAGGAACACCGGUGGCGAAGGCGGCUUACUGGACCGUAACUGACGUUGAGGCUCGAAAGCGUGGGGAGCAAACAGGAUUAGAUACCCUGGUAGUC